rnacentral:lncRNA from 1 species
UUUGCAGGGAGCUGGUAAGUCGCCUACAGGAGCGAAAUGUUCAGGUUUUCCUAAUAUCUGGUGGCUUUAGGAGUAUUAUAGAGCAUGUUGCUUCAAAGCUCAAUAUCCCAGCAACCAAUGUAUUUGCCAGUAGGCUGAAAUUCUACCUUAAUGGAUGCUUUCAUUGGAUUUGGAGGAAAUGUGAUCAGGCAACAAGUCAAGGAUAACGCCAAAUGGAUGCUUGCUCUUUGAACUCAGCCAUCAUGCUGUGAGGAAGCCCAGAUCACAAGGAGAGGCCACAUUUUGAUGUUCCAGUCAACAGUCCCAGCACAGGUUUCAGAUGACAGCCAACAUCAGUUGCCAGACAUGAGACUGAAGAAGGCUUUGUGAAGACUCCAGCCCCAGCCACUACAACAGCAUGAGAGACCCCAAGUGAAAAUCACCUGCCUGAACCCAUCAACUCCCAGAACCAUGAAAAUAAAAAACUUUUUUUU